UCGUGCUAUGCGGGGGGCUGGCGGUCCCCUGUGACCCGAAAUCCGCCAAUGCGGGGCAGAGAGGAACCCUGAGUUCGGUGUGGUGCGAGUUCAGUCGGAAAUGUGCAUUGACGAUGAAGGUCGGGUCCGGUGAGGAUGGUCACCGUGAACCCCGCCAGGACCGGAAGGUAGCAACGGUAAACGGAGCGACCGUCAGUCAUCGGGGCACCUGGCUGGAGUUAAUGCCUUUCCGACCCUCUCACCAACUGCGCGAAGGUUCCGGCACGA
rnacentral:SRP_RNA from 1 species